ACGGGAACAUUAUAACAUUACAGUGUCAGCCAUACAGUGUACAGCUAACAGUGUUAGCUGUUAUGGUCAUGAUGCUAAAUGCUCCCCAGAUGCCUUGUCUGAAGUAGCUUUUAGAAGGCUGGGAUUAAUAACGGAGAACUCAGUGAAGAAGACUAUUCUCUCUUCACUACAAUAUUUCAAAGCCCCACCCCUGCCUUGAGUCAAAAUCCAAUUUUUAAAAAUCCUAUUAAAUGGCUAAUGCUUUUGGGGGGGAGCCCUCUCCUAAAUUUGAAACACACUUUACUCAGUACAUGCCACUUUUUCCCAGCUUUCUGGGGAAGCAGGUUCCAAGAUGUCAUGACCCAGGUCUGGAGCAUCGAUGCUGACCGUCCGGCCAGGAACCAUCCAUACAAACGCACGUGGUAAUUCACGUUGGUGACAGUGAGCCAGCACAGAUGCCGUCGCUGCCAUGAAGUUCGAUCUCCUCCCAGGGCUGUCUCAGCCGAGUCACCAGGCCCGUGGCUGUCCUGGGAUCACCACCCUGCAUUGUGUCCGCUCAUGCUAUUUGCCUCUCCAGCUAGACUAUGCGUUUCUCCAGGGCUGGAACGAGUGAUGUGCUGGUAAAUGUUCAACAACCACCGCUCAAAAAAACAACAAAAAAGAAAACAUCCUGAUUUGUAGUGUCUGCCAAUUCCCUUGAUAUAAAUACUCCCUCUCUGGCCAAUUUCAAGCAACCAACAUGAAGUCACUGACAGUGGAAUUUCUGGAAAGAGACUCGCAAAGGCUCCAUCAGGUACUCCUUCCAUCAUACGGAUACGAUCGACAACAGAUGCCAAGAACCUCCAGAGCAGAGAUAACAGUAAAGUGGGGUAAAACAUUAGGAUAAGUUCUGAGUAUUUAUUACCCGCAUCUGGAAUAUGACUGACUUAACGGACAAGCCAGCUCCAGAGCACCACGGCUGGCACCGAGUCUUGUUCAACUUUAUACCCCAGCAUGCACCACUGCUCAAGCAACACGCAUCUCCAACAGCCCAGUUCACACUUGAUGCCUGUGACACUGUGCCAGGUCCUCUGCUCCCAGCCUCUCCCAGUGCAUCCUUUCCGCAGACUGAUGCGGUCACUCUGAUUAUCAGCCCCAUUUUACAGAUGAGAAAACUGAGGCUCCAAACAGACAAGCAGCUGGCUCACGGUCAUAACAGAAUGCCUGCGGACAGUGCCGACUGUUUGUCACACUCUGUUUGCUGACCAAUCCUGGCUCGCCCACGCAGCAGCUCUCCAAAACGUCACGCAGGACGGACUGACAGCCCCACGUCAGGCAGACUCACUCAGCAAGACACCCGCCCACAGGACAGCAGCCGACCCCAAAGGCCAGGGGUGCCCCAGGCUCUGCUCUUCCUGAGAAGCACAAAGGAGAACUCAAAAUGUGAACGAGGCCAAGGGCAGAUCAGAGCCGUACCCACAAACCACCCAGAAAUUCCAGGAAUGAAGCCGUGGCUGGAAGGACGUGGUGGAGGAGGACACCCCGGCACGUCUUGGACAGAUCCCAGGACCGGGCAGACCCCCCCGGGAGAGCGUCUGGGUGAGCACCAGACGGGAUGGCGCCCCUCCUGCACUGGAUGCAGUCGGCUUUCCCUCAGCCCUUCUGGACAGGGGAGGAAACAGCCCCGUUCCUUCCCUCACUGGCCACUCUGCCCUCAGCCCUGGGUCCCCUACAACUGAGGACAGCGGGCCAACAGUCCACUUGGCUUAACAGAAACGUCAGCCCCACGGGCGCCUUCUUUCCUCCUGUCCCCUAGGCAAAAGAUGCAUCCUUAUAGGAUAUAAGGGACAGCAAGGCUGGGGGCGAAACUGGAUAAAUCCAAUAUACAAAACCCAUUCGAUUUAAUACCAUGCCGAGAGCAUAGGCACACAAUCCUGGAGAAAAAUAGAAGAAAAUGCAGUCAACAAACACGUAUUCUACUUUGUGCAAAAAAAGAACUAAAACCCAGGUGUGUUCACUACAAGCCAAGGUAAUAUAUAAGAGACUGGAUAAUGAAUUAAUACAGUCUUAAAAUAGCCGGUCCCUCACUCCUGGGGCCCUUCCUCCCUUCUUGCAGAUGUGUGGGUGUUUCCUUGGAAAUGAUGCUCCCAGCAAAGCUUUAGAUAGACAGCAGGAAACCUCCAUCUCCGAAGGACAAGCAGCCAAGGGCUCCCAGAAGGCAGGUGGAAAGGCGGGGACGUUGGGUCAAAGCCGGGUUCGAAUCCUGGCUCCCCCACGUGGAGCUGUGUGCUGCCCAGAAGGUCCCUCACCCUCUCUGAGUCUGCAGCUCCUCACAGGCACCGGGAGGCCCUGAACUGCUCCCCAGGCUGGCAGAGGGAGGGUGUGAAGAUCGCAUAAAUAGCGGGAUAAAGAGCCUGGCGGCAGAGUCCGGGACUUCCCGGUGCAUAAUGACCGUUCUUGCGCUUCUCCCGGGUGAACUCAGGCUUCCCCGAUCAUCUCUGCUCCAGGCUGCAUGACCGGCAGCACCCAGACCAGCCUCCUGCCUCACACGAGUGAUUCACCGGUAUCGGGUGGCAUCUGCCAGGGUGAGUCACGGCCAUGGUUCUGAACCAAGCUCAAAGCCACACGGCUCAGGAGUUAUCCAGCACCAGGCUAUAGGAUCUUCACCCUGCUUGGGGGGGAACUCCUCAGGGCAAACCCUCGGUGGCCAUGGAGUCCUUGGGAUACGCAAGUGAACGAGACCGUCCACACCUGGGAGCGAGGAGGCACCAACCACAGCAAACUGAUAAAUACAAAAGGCUCGAGGGCUCCAAUCACCACCUCGCCGGCGUCCCCCGCGUCGAGCAGCGGCGAUGGCAGCAGCAGCACGGGCACAGUGGGUACAGCGGACGCAGCUGGCGCAGCGGAUACAGGAGGCAGAGAGAGCCCGCCGCGGGAUGCAGGACAACCCGGCCGCAGAGGGAUGCAGUGGGUCUGGGGGCCCCGCGCGCCGCCUCUUGUAGGCUGCCCGGAGCCCGGAGGCCACGCCCCCUCGGCGGCCAGCGAUGCUGAUAGGGCCGUGCCGUCAUGGCCCCGCCCCCUCCGUCCUCCGGCCCCGCCCUGCCCUGUCCCCUCCCAGGCCCCGCCCUUCCCGGGCUCGCCCCGCCCAGGCCCCGCCCCCUCAUGCUCGCCCCGCCCCGGCCCCGCCUCCCUCAGGCUCGCCCCGCCCCGGCCCCGCCUCCCUCAGGCUCGCCCCGCCCCGCGAGCCCGGUGGACCUGGGGCGGCGCGGGUGCCCGCGGUCCCGAGGCCGCGCGAGGAGGGCGGGGGCGCCCGCGGCCUAAGAGCUCAGCUUGAGAAGAGGACGUGCUCAGUUUCCACGUCGUGGCAAUAAAAGUAUCGCUUACCCCGCGCCCGGAGUGGUACCAAGCACUUUCCACCAGGGGUUCACAAAUUUACCGAAUCGCGUCUCUCUGCGGCUCAGCUGGAAAAUGGGAAUAGAGAGGCGACCUCCUGGGACUGCAGCAAAUGCCAUCGGGAAGGGCGUGGGCUCCGUAAACCGAGGCGCGGAACACACGCUUGCUAAAUUUAUUCCCAUCCUCUACACGUGGGGUGACAACUUCACUCUUGCCGCCCAGACACACACACACACACACACACACACACACACACUAUUCCCAACGUGCAGAUGAAGAAAUAAGACUCGGGGAUGUUCCUGGCUGAGGCAGUUUUGAAGCAUGGUUCUCAACUCAAGAUUCAUUCAUUCAAUACUUAUUAAAAGUACCUACUGUGUGUCGGGCUCUGUUCCAAGCAUUGGGGCAUUCAGUGGUGAACACGAUGGACUGUUCCAGAACAGUGGUCCUCGGUUUGACAAGGGCAAACCCAAAGGGAGAAGAGACCUGCAUUAUUAACAGACGCCUCUCAAGCACCUGGCCCCACACACAGCAUCCCGUCAAAUCCACCGCCACCCAACAACCGCCUGAGGCUGGUGCUGUUAUCAGGAAACUGGGCACAGAGAGUGUCAGUAGCUUUCCCGAGGCCACACAGCUCCUGAAUGGAGGAACUGGGAUCUGAACUCAUGCUCUCGCCCACUUGGCUGCUAGCUUGUGUAGCAGUAAAGCUCGGGUACAGGGGAGUGGGAUAAACGGGGUCCCCACCCAGGCACAGGGGAAGGGAAGGCACGCAGGAUCCGAUCCCCCGUGUGCUCAGUAUUUGGGUGGGGGAGGUUGAUAAAGAAAGGUCCACAGCUCUGCUGACCGGGGCCUCCAGCUCCUACCGACGCUUUUGGUGGCAACUCUGCAGGCUCCUUACUGUGCAGGAUGGCUCCUCCCAGCCGGCUGUUCCAGGGGCACCGUUGGCAGAGCUGCAACCUGAGGGCACCUCUCUACAAUGUCGUCCCCCGGCCGAGCUACCAACUCCCGUCCAGCCAGGCAGCUACUGCCCGAACACCCGGCACACCACAGGACCUUCCGCCCCUCACCCCCUUCUCUCCCUCAGUUUCUCGUUUCCUCUCCCUCUGGUCAUCUGCCCAUGUGUCCUGCUGAGUCUCCCUGGCCUGGCCUCUGGCCGUGCCCACCGCUACCCGUUGACUUCAGCAGGCACCCACAUGUGCCGGGCGCUGGGCACAGGGCUCCACCGGCAUUGGCCUGUGAACUGCUCACAACCCAGUGAUGGGAGGGGUUCUCGUCGGCCUUGUUUCAUAGAUGGGGAAACUGAGGCUCGAGUAGGUGAAGGCACUUGCCCAGGGUCGCUUGGCUAUUGAGUGGUGGCAUUGGGACUCCAACUCAGGCAGUCCAGGGCCACAGCCCGUGACAUUGGCUUCUAAACCAGAUGGCCUGAGGGGACUGGGGUGUUUGGGUUUGCUGCAGUGUGAACCCAGUGGGGGUUUCUGAGCUAUUUCAUUUCCUUUUAAUGUCUCAGUCAGGCUAACAUGUCUCAGAUGGGACGUCAUGCUUGCUAUUGCUACGUAACAAAUGACCCCAAAAAGUAGUGGCUUAAAACAAGCACUGUACUUUGCUCAGUACUUUGAAGGGGAGGAACCUGGUCCAGGCUGGCUGGAUGGCUCUUCCUUGGGGGGUCUGUCAUGUGGCUGCCGUCAGAUGCUGGCCGGGCUGCAGACACCCGAAGGUCACCUGGGCUGGACAUCCAUGAUGGUUCACCCACGUGGCGGGAGCUCAGCGGGGGCCGCAGACUGAAGGGCCUCCGUGUGGCGUCCCCAGGAAGGCUCUCCUGAGCAAGCCUCCCAAGAGAACCAGGCGGAAGGUGCAUGACCUUCUAUGACCUGCCAUUGGAAGUCAUAGAACGCCACUUCCGCCAUACUCUUGGUCGAAUCAUGGAGCCUGCCGAGGGUCAAGGAGAGAGGAUAUCGAGCAUAUUUCUCAAUAGGUGGCGAUCAAAGAAUGUGCAGACGUGUUUUAAAUCCUCUCCAGGUUUUAAAACAGAUAAGAUAUAUGAAAACACAUAGCCCAGCGCCUGGCACCAAGCAGACACUCAAUAAAAGAUGCGUCGUCCUUCCAGGGAGCUAACCAGAUGGUCCAGCAGAAGGAGCACCAUCUUUGCAUCUCAACGGAUGAGUUUGAAACUUCACUCCAUCAAGCAGCAGCUGUGUGCCUUUGCUCCAGUCCCCCGACCUCUCUGAGCUACAACUGCCUCCCAGGUGGGGUUAUUCAAGUGGCAGACGGAGUCCGUAGCUUGCUGCUUGGUGCCAUCUGGAACCAGUGGGGCUGGCUUCCAGUCCCGGCUCCUCCACUUCCAAGCUCUUGGCCUUGUGUUCAGCUCCCCAUCUGUAAAAUGGGGGUGAUGAUGAUGGCAUCUCCCUCCCUCAGGGAGAGAUGCACGGAAAAUAAUUAGAACAGGCCAGGCACAUGGCAAGUAUUCGCUAAUGUUAUUGUUAUCAGGGCCAACGAAGUAAAAAGGGAGACAGAAAAGUUUAAUUUUGAUCAACUUUUCCAUCGUUGUGCAAUCUUAGAAUCUAACUUCCAAAAAAUAACCUUUGAAUUUGAAUAAGAUGGUGUGUCAUGGGCAAAGUGGGAUCCUGAGAGGGCAUCCAGGAGGAUGGGAAAGGACCAAGAUGCACCUACGAGUUUUCCUGGGAAGGGACUGGCCGCUGAUGUCCUUAGAAAUCCCAGCAAAGGGUCCUGUUUGCCACCCAGGCAGGAGUUAAGUCAUGGAGAGUUUGAGACGGAGAAGGUCCUUCUGGUCAUAAUGAGGCCCGACCCAGAAAAAGGAGCACGUGGGCCAGGUCGGGACACCCUGGAGAGACUCCAGCCCCCUCUCACUCACUCGCUCGCUCAGAACCAAGUUGUUUUCAUUGGAGUCUCCUGAGCUGGACAUCAAGAGCCAAGACUGGGGAGUUCCAGUUUCUCGUUUGUUCCCACCACACCCAUCCAGCGGCUGCAGAAUGUCACUGAGACUCAGCCUGGCAGCAAAGACCACUAACUACUGGAGUCAGGAGCCCUGGAGGGACCGUCCUGUGAUGGGCAUGGCUUAGACAGGGGCGCCAAAAGGACGGGAAAGAUGGCGACCGCCCUGAGUGGACAGGUGCUAGCUGUGCGGCCCUCAGGCUCUGAGGGGCAUGAGUUUGCUGGCCUUGGAGAGGAAGGGUACAAGCGUGAGUUCCACAUCUUACCUUGGCAGGACUUCUUUGGGGCAGUGCAGGCCCUGCCCGUGGGGAGAUCUGCGGCAAGGUCUUGACCGAUGGAAGUUGCGAGUAACAGAAACCCACUCAAGUUAGCUUAAGCGGAGAGGGGGCUUCUCGGUAGGAUACUGGACUAUUGUGGACCCCAUGGACAGCCAGAACCCUCAAAGAACUAGAAUUAGUCCUGAAAGGGGGUCAGGCACCCUGGCAGUACUUUCUGUGUAUUUCGCACCUCUCCGUAUCCUUCUCCCUCUGCAGCCGGGCCUCGCCCAUUCCCUGUGGACAUGACCACCCCGCCAGCACCGGGGUUCACAUCUCCCUUGUUCCGGGGACCAGCUCAGGCCGUGCCCAGCCACCUCCCAGUUCUAACUCCAUAGAGAGAGAAUCUAAUUGGCCCUGUUGGGAACAGAUGUCACCCCUGGUCCAAUCAAGGGAGACCAAGGGGACAUCGCCAGGUACCAUGAACAUGACAGCAAGGCCCUGUGAGCUGGGUGGGCACCCCCCAAGGCCAGAUGGAUGGAAAUGAGCCACAACAAAGACUCUGUGGAGGCAGCCAGAAAAAGGCUCAGAAUCUAGUGAGACAAGAGCUUGGGGUAAAAACUCCAUCCAUUGGACUAAAGCAGACAGUCAGCGUUCCACUCAAGCCCAUCAAACUCCCAACCAUUUCUGUGCACGCCAACCUGACUUGCCCCAGCCGCACCUGCGCCUGCUGGAGGGCUGCCCCUGGGCUGCACGUAGCCCGUGAGCAUGGUGGCCCCCAAGUGCCUGGGAUUUAGUGCCCCGGGGACAUCAGCUGACAAUGGCUGACAGGGCUGGGGGUGCAAAUACCCCGGAUCCCGUGCUCUCAGCUGGGAAGAUUCCGAGAUGGGUGUCUGCCGGAAGGAUUCCCUACUCGGCCACGCGGUCGCUGGCUGAAUGAUGCACAUUCCCUGUAUCGCUAAUGCAUCUCUUUCCUCUAUUCCUCGCCCCUUUCAGAUACACCGCCCUCAAAUCCUCAGCUGGGCGUCUGCUUCUGGGAACCCAAACGAGGACAAGGACCCUGAAGUUUGGGGACAGGGACCCAGGAGUCACGUUAUUCUCUUAGGACACCUGUGCAUUCGUUCAUCCAGCCCUUGAAUAUUGGCUGAGUAUCUACUCCGUGCCAGGGGGUGUGCUGACAAAUAUAGGAGAGAAAUAGGAAAAACCCGACAGUCUGAACAGCCAUAUAAAGAGAGAAGGGCUUUUUACAAGGAGAGUCUGGGAAGCCAAAGGCUGACUGUGGUAUUAUUUCACUGUAUAAAAACUAUGACUCACGGAGGAAAAGGGAACACGGAAUCCCAGAAUAUGAUGGGCACCCCCUUUAAAAUCUGAGAGAGGUAGUUUAGGGCAAAUUAAAGGAAUUCUUCAUCCAACAGUGAAUAGCAAAUUUAUUCACCUCCAGUUACCCCACAAUAAGUAAUACAAGCAGAAAAUGUAAAUAGAUUUUUAAAAAUAAAUGAAUGCUGGAGUUCA